rnacentral:rRNA from 1 species
GACGAACGCUGGCGGCGUGCUUAACACAUGCAAGUCGAGCGGUAAGGCCUUUCGGGGUACACGAGCGGCGAACGGGUGAGUAACACGUGGGUGAUCUGCCCUGCACUUCGGGAUAAGCCUGGGAAACUGGGUCUAAUACCGGAUAUGACCUCCUAUCGCAUGGUGGGUGGUGGAAAGAUUUAUCGGUGCAGGAUGGGCCCGCGGCCUAUCAGCUUGUUGGUGGGGUAAUGGCCUACCAAGGCGACGACGGGUAGCCGACCUGAGAGGGUGACCGGCCACACUGGGACUGAGACACGGCCCAGACUCCUACGGGAGGCAGCAGUGGGGAAUAUUGCACAAUGGGCGAAAGCCUGAUGCAGCGACGCCGCGUGAGGGAUGACGGCCUUCGGGUUGUAAACCUCUUUCAGCAGGGACGAAGCGCAAGUGACGGUACCUACAGAAGAAGCACCGGCUAACUACGUA